CCUGGGCACCUGGUGGGAUUGCAUUCACAGUUCCUCAAAGUGACCAAGUGAUUUGCAUUGAGCAUUGAAAGAUAUCCCCCUGGGGCACCGGCCUAGAACAGAGCAACAAAUAUUUACUAAUUCCAUUAACAGAAGAGAGUUGGAAUUUUUUUUUCCCAAGCGAAUAUCCGAGGCCCCAAGUUCAUGGUGAGCCCUCUCCCCCGCAUGGCCCCCUCUCCCCCCACCUCCUCCCUACACGCCCAGGACUUAUAUAUAGUUCACUCAGUGCCAUUUCCCCAAUUUUUUUCUGAAGUUCAAGACAAGUUGAAGGGUCAAAAAGGCAAAGGGUGUUUUAGAAGUUUAGCAGACAGCUUUUGGUACAAGGAAAAGAGAGGGAGAGCUGGAGAGAGGGAAACAGGGUGAAGAGGCAGGAAUCUGGCUCGCAUUAAGCUGGGAGGUUCCAACCAUUGAUUCGCUCUGGAAUUAUGGCUUAAAAAAAUUGCAAGACAUGGUUUAUUCAUGAGGGUUCUUUUUUUUUCUUAAGUAGCCACCCAAAGUUACACUUUGGUUCACCAAGACGAAGACUCAUCCUUCCUCUCUCUAUGGAUCUUUCAGAUGAAGAAAUUAAGGCUCAGGAGGGAGGAAAAAAAUAAAAGAAAGAAUUGUCCAAGGUCACCAAGGCAUCUGGACUCCCAUAUGUUGAGCUACUUCUGCUUGUGGGGCAGCUGCAAUACAUGAAUUCUUCACUACCAACUUAAUAUAAGCUAAGGAAUGCAAAAGAUUGCCAGCAAAUGACCAGAAGCUAGAGGGGAGGCAUGGAACAGAUCUUCUCUCACAGCCUCAGAAGGAACUAGCCCUACUGACAGCUCGAUCUCAGACUUCUAGACUCCAGACUGCUUGUUCCAUGUGAAGCAACCUUUCUGCUCAGAUAUUCCCUGGCCUGCAAUAGAAGCUCCAGUUUGGGCUUUGGAAACUCAAGUCUCAGAGUUCUUCAGGGAGGCUCUUACAAUUGUGUAGCAUUGGCAGCACACACAAGAAAAUGGACCAAUCUACCAACCACAGACCAGGUGCAACCAUGGAUACCAGGACCAUAAAGUGCCUUUGUCUUGGGGUCACUUCGAGAAAACAUUGUAGAUCCAGGGGCUCUGAGCUGAAGAGGAAAAACCAUCAUAGUGUUCU
rnacentral:lncRNA from 10 species